rnacentral:rRNA from 1 species
CCUACGGGAGGCAGCAGUGGGGAAUAUUGCACAAUGGGGGAAACCCUGAUGCAGCGACGCCGCGUGAGUGAAGCAGUAUUUCGGUAUGUAAAGCUCUAUCAGCAGGGAAGAAAAUGACGGUACCUGACUAAGAAGCCCCGGCUAACUACGUGCCAGCAGCCGCGGUAAUACGUAGGGGGCAAGCGUUAUCCGGAUUUACUGGGUGUAAAGGGAGCGUAGACGGCAGCGCAAGUCUGGAGUGAAAUGCCAGGGCUUAACCAUGGAACUGCUUUGGAAACUGUGCAGCUAGAGGGCAGGAGAGGUAAGCGGAAUUCCUAGUGUAGCGGUGAAAUGCGUAGAUAUUAGGAGGAACACCAGUGGCGAAGGCGGCUUACUGGACUGUAACUGACGUUGAGGCUCGAAAGCGUGGGGAGCAAACAGGAUUAGAUACCCGGGUAGUC